rnacentral:rRNA from 1 species
GUACUACUCUACAGAGUUUGAUCCUGGCUCAGGACGAACGCUGGCGGCGUGCUUAACACAUGCAAGUCGAACGGGAUUUAGUAGACAGAAGCUUCGGUGGAAGAUUACUAAUGAGAGUGGCGAACGGGUGAGUAACGCGUGAGCAACCUGCCUAUGACAGUGGGAUAGCCUCGGGAAACCGGGAUUAAUACCGCAUAAAAUCGUAGAAACACAUGUUUUAACGGUCAAAGAAUUAUCGGUCAUAGAUGGGCUCGCGUCUGAUUAGCUAGUUGGUGAGAUAACAGCCCACCAAGGCGACGAUCAGUAGCCGGUCUGAGAGGAUGAACGGCCACAUUGGAACUGAGACACGGUCCAA